CAGCAGUGGGGAAUAUUGCACAAUGGGGGAAACCCUGAUGCAGCGACGCCGCGUGGAGGAAGAAGGUCUUCGGAUUGUAAACUCCUGUUGUUGAGGAAGAUAAUGACGGUACUCAACAAGGAAGUGACGGCUAACUACGUGCCAGCAGCCGCGGUAAAACGUAGGUCACAAGCGUUGUCCGGAAUUACUGGGUGUAAAGGGAGCGCAGGCGGGAAGACAAGUUGGAAGUGAAAUCCAUGGGCUCAACCCAUGAACUGCUUUCAAAACUGUUUUUCUUGAGUAGUGCAGAGGUAGGCGGAAUUCCCGGUGUAGCGGUGGAAUGCGUAGAUAUCGGGAGGAACACCAGUGGCGAAGGCGGCCUACUGGGCACCAACUGACGCUGAGGCUCGAAAGUGUGGGUAGCAAACAGGAUUAGAUACCCUGGUAGUCCACACCGUAAACGAUGAUUACUAGGUGUUGGAGGAUUGACCCCUUCAGUGCCGCAGUUAACACAAUAAGUAAUCCACCUGGGGAGUACGACCGCAAGGUUGAAACUCAAAGGAAUUGACGGGGGCCCGCACAAGCAGUGGAGUAUGUGGUUUAAUUCGACGCAACGCGAAGAACCUUACCAAGUCUUGACAUCCUGCGACGAUGCUGGAAACAGUAUUUUCCUUCGGGACGCAGAGACAGGUGGUGCAUGGUUGUCGUCAGCUCGUGUCGUGAGAUGUUGGGUUAAGUCCCGCAACGAGCGCAACCCUUAUCAUUAGUUGCUACGCAAGAGCACUCUAAUGAGACUGCCGUUGACAAAACGGAGGAAGGUGGGGAUGACGUCAAAUCAUCAUGCCCUUUAUGACUUGGGCUACACACGUACUACAAUGGCGUUAAACAAAGAGAAGCAAGACCGCGAGGUGGAGCAAAACUCAGAAACAACGUCCCAGUUCGGACUGCAGGCUGCAACUCGCCUGCACGAAGUCGGAAUUGCUAGUAAUCGUGGAUCAGCAUGCCACGGUGAAUACGUUCCCGGGCCUUGUACACACCGCCCGUCACACCAUGAGAGCCGGGGGGACCCGAAGUCGGUAGUCUAACCGCAAGGAGGACGCCGCCGAAGGUAAAACUGGUGAUUGGGGUGAAGUCGUAACAAGGUAGCCGUAGGAGAACCUGCGGCUG
rnacentral:rRNA from 1 species